GAUGAACGCUGGCGGCGUGCCUAACACAUGCAAGUCGAACGGAGAUUCCGGGCGGAAGUUUUCGGCUGGAGGACUGUAAUUCUUAGUGGCGGACGGGUGAGUAACCCUUGGGCUACCUGCCCUAUCCAGGGAGUUAGCCGCUUACCGCGUCUGGUCACCCCGCAUAAGUCGGCGGGACCGCAUGGUUUUGCCGGGGAAUUAGCAUUCCGGGAUAGGAUGGGGCCGCGUCCGAUUAGCCAGUUGGCAGGGUAAAAGCCUAGCAAAGCAAGGAUCGGUAGCCGGACGGAUAGGGGGGACGGUCACAAUGGGACUGAGACACGGACCAAUAUGCUACGGGAGGGAGCAGUGGGGGAUAUUGCACAAGGGAGGAAAAUGCGACGCAGCGACGCCGGGUGAGUGAAGAAGUAGUUCGGUAUGUAAAGCUGUAUCAGCAGGGAAGAGGAUGACGGUACCGGACUAAGAAGCCCCGGCUAACUACGUG
rnacentral:rRNA from 1 species